UUCACCAUGUUUGCCACUUCAGGUUUGUAUAAUGUUUUCGUUCGUGUAUGCUAUGUGGGCUUGGAAGGUUAUUUCUUGUCUCAAGUUUAGUCUCUAAUUUCUCAGUGGUUGUCUUUCAUUCUCCCUCUCUCAAAUUGUUUCCUUUCUUUCUAUAUUUCUCUUGGUAUAGGUGUGCGGAGUUAGUCUCUUGGAGCUUUGGUCCCUUCUAUCCAGAACUUUGUGGUUUUGCACUUGCAUGGCCGUCUUGUAUGUUCUUGUUUAGUUUGUGAGGUGUUUCUUACCUUUUAGCUACUGGUUGUGAUUCUAGUGUUUUAGCCAUAUAUCUUCCUGCUUCUUGGUGGCUUUGGCCUUUCAAUUAUUAUUCUUUCUUUGGCCUGCUUUCUUAGUUAUUUGCGUUGAUGCUCUAAUUUCUUAUUCUUAGUUUGAUUAUCUUAUGAUAUUAAUAGUGAAAUAAA
rnacentral:lncRNA from 1 species